CCCAGAUUGUGGGUUGCUGCUAGGGGGCAGAACCCUGAGGUAAAGGGCACUGGGGUCCAGGAAGGACACGGGGGGCCAGCGGCAGACGAGACACCGGCUUGCAGAGGGCGCUCCAGAGGCUGGAAAAGCUAAUUCCCAGGAUGACUAGCAGGAGGUGCUGCGCCGGUAGCACUGUAAAGAGGCUUCUAAUGAAUGAAAUCAACCGUCCAUUUCUGAAACCACAAGCAGUCUGAAUCCCAACCAGAUCUCUUGGGAUCAGCUCAGCAAUACUCCAUUCCUAAUGGCAGAAUGAUUGAUUCCAGCUAGAUCCAUUGGCUCUGGUAUCCCAUUCCUGUCCUCCACUGUUACCCCUCGGCUUUGGUUCCUGACUACUGAUGACUGCUCCAACCACUAGGCCUGAUGCCUGCUCAUUCCGGUUGACUGACACUGCAUAAGAUGUACACAAUUUACAUACCCUGAAGGUGGAAUGGACUGUGCCAGUGCUGGAAAAGAAGGUGGUUGAAGAAAUUUCUGAAUAAUAAGUAUAUGAAGUGUUGGCAUAUAGGUUUCUCGGUCCCUGGCUGUGUCCUUGGUGUAUUGUUGGAAUGCCUGAGAUUGACAUGGUAGAUGUAUAUCAUGGCAUACAUCACUGUUUUUAAUGGGGUUUAGUGUACAGAUCUGUGUAAGGUUGCUGAUUUGCAGUGUCUAGAGCUGCAGUUUUCAAACUUUUGAGUUACAAUUUUUGGUUGCGUGGCCCACCUCUAAACCAGACAAAAAUAGACACAAUACCUGCCCCUCCCGCCUCAGGUUUUCAGGAUGGGGGAAGGCACGUGUGAUGGUCUCUUAAGGACAGAGCCGGCAGUGAGCACAGAGGCUGCCAGGAGUGGAAAUCAGCAUGGCCGUAGCAGUUGACACUGACCCACAGGCUGGGUGGCCUGCUGAGAUGAAUCGGGGUUGGAGGUGGUGCUGCUGGCCGGAGCCCCUUUGGGAGUCACUGCUCCCGGCUCAAGCCCUGCCAGGCAUUGCUGCUUGCCCCCCUGAACAUUCUUCCACACCCCCCGAGGGAGGCACACCCCACAGUUUGAAAACCUCUGUCUAGAGAAUGUCAGGGGUUACUUGACUAAAUGGCUGAGCUGCCAGCUUUUAAAAUAUUUUUUUCAAAUUCAACAAAUGAUUGUGUUUCAGAACUAGACACUUGAUUCAUUAUAGCUCGUCCAUUCAUAAUA